ACAUGCAGUCGAGCGGACAGAUGGGAGCUUGCUCCCUGAUGUUAGCGGCGGACGGGUGAGUAACACGUGGGUAACCUGCCUGUAAGACUGGGAUAACUCCGGGAAACCGGGGCUAAUACCGGAUGGUUGUUUGAACCGCAUGGUUCAAACAUAAAAGGUGGCUUCGGCUACCACUUACAGAUGGACCCGCGGCGCAUUAGCUAGUUGGUGAGGUAACGGCUCACCAAGGCAACGAUGCGUAGCCGACCUGAGAGGGUGAUCGGCCACACUGGGACUGAGACACGGCCCAGACUCCUACGGGAGGCAGCAGUAGGGAAUCUUCCGCAAUGGACGAAAGUCUGACGGAGCAACGCCGCGUGAGUGAUGAAGGUUUUCGGAUCGUAAAGCUCUGUUGUUAGGGAAGAACAAGUACCGUUCGAAUAGGGCGGUACCUUGACGGUACCUAACCAGAAAGCCACGGCUAACUACGUGCCAGCAGCCGCGGUAAUACGUAGGUGGCAAGCGUUGUCCGGAAUUAUUGGGCGUAAAGGGCUCGCAGGCGGUUUCUUAAGUCUGAUGUGAAAGCCCCCGGCUCAACCGGGGAGGGUCAUUGGAAACUGGGGAACUUGAGUGCAGAAGAGGAGAGUGGAAUUCCACGUGUAGCGGUGAAAUGCGUAGAGAUGUGGAGGAACACCAGUGGCGAAGGCGACUCUCUGGUCUGUAACUGACGCUGAGGAGCGAAAGCGUGGGGAGCGAACAGG
rnacentral:rRNA from 1 species